AGAGUUUGAUCCUGGCUCAGAAUGAACGUUGGCGGCGUGGAUUAGGCAUGCAAGUCGUGCGAGAAGUCUUUUGCUUGCAUUAGACGGAAAGCGGCGAAAGGGAGAGUAACGCGUGGGUACCUACCUCUAGGUUCGGGAUAGCUGCGGGAAACUGUGGGUAAUACCGAAUAACAUCUCCGGAUCAAAGGUGUGAUUCCGCCUGGAGACGGGCCCGCGUCCUAUUAGCUUGUUGGUGGGGUAAUGGCUUACCAAGGCAAUGAUGGGUAUCGGGCGUGAGAGCGUGACCCGACUCACUGGGACUGAGACACUGCCCAGACACCUACGGGUGGCUGCAGUCGAGAAUCUUCGGCAAUGGGCGCAAGCCUGACCGAGCGACGCCGCGUGCGGGAUGAAGGCCCUCGGGUUGUAAACCGCUGUCAGUUGGGAGGAAAUCACAUGGGGUUCUCUCCAUGUGCUGACCUAUCUUCAGAGGAAGGACGGGCUAAGUUCGUGCCAGCAGCCGCGGUAAGACGAACCGUCCAAACGUUAUUCGGAAUUACUGGGCUUAAAGGGUGCGUAGGCGGCUUCGCAAGUUGGGUGUGAAAUCCCUCGGCUCAACCGAGGAAUGGCGCCCAAAACUGCGGAGCUCGAGGGAGACAGAGGUGAGUGGAACUUGUGGUGGAGCGGUGAAAUGCGUUGAUAUCACAAGGAACACCGGUGGCGAAAGCGGCUCACUGGGUCUUUUCUGACGCUGAGGCACGAAAGCUGGGGGAGCGAACGGGAUUAGAUACCCCGGUAGUCCCAGCUGUAAACGAUGAGCACUAGAUCGAAAGGGUCCUCCAUAGCCUUUCGGUCGUAGCGAAAGUGUUAAGUGCUCCGGCCUGGGGAGUAUGGUCGCAAGGCUGAAACUCAAAGGAAUUGACGG
rnacentral:rRNA from 1 species